GCGCUCUCUGCUGUCAGUGUCAGUUAUGGCACAUGCAGGCAGUUUUUAGGCCAUCCCUUCCCUUUCCUGGGGUCCUACUCAAGAUAAUCUCCACCCACUCCUGACCAUAUGCCAACUGAGAAGCUGCUGCUGCUGAAUGGUUUCUUUUGAUCCUUCUCAUAUUGUCCUCAAGAUUCACAGAGCCUGCUCCUCUUCAUGGCUCUUCUUCACUUCAGAAACGGUGACAGCAUUACAUCACAUACGCCGUGCCAGAAAAGGAAGCCACUGGGACAUGAGGAGGGGAUGAAUGCUGCCCAACAGACAGAGCAAAUAUUUCUCUGGCUUCUUCAUAUGAGCAGAUUUCUUCAUUACACUCACGUUCCAGAGAGCCUGAUUUUAGCUCCUCAAAGAAACUGUUUGCUCUCUUUAUCCGAUUCGUCAACACACCGUUGGCCUCAUUACUCUGUAUGAAAACUACAAAAGAACACAGUUCAACCCACCAGAUAGAAAUACUCAACCAUUUGGCUACUAUCAGCUGACACAUAAUGCUUCCAAAUGCCGAGUGCUCUACGUGACCCUCCAUCUUUGCUGAUUUUCUUUUAUACUGUACCAUACCAAUGCAGGUGGCAAAUCGUCUGUAAUUAAAUGUCCCCCCUUUC